CAGGCAGCCCACCAGGAGACAUUAGAAGAAAUCAGAACCAGUCAUGUGGACUCACUGAAAAAACAGUUAGAAGACAGAAUUAGAGAUCUGGAACGUGCACUGGGAAGGAUAAAAAGCAACCAAGCAGAAAGACCUUUUCAAAAGGAAUCCACCCAGGCAGAAGUGGACAAGUACAAAGAGCUGUAUCUGGUGGAAGCCCAAACCAGAAAAAGCCUCACCAAGAGACUGGAAAGAGCUACUGAGAGACUUGCAGAGGCCAACACCAAGCUCUUUUUGGAGCGCCACAGAAGCAGAUCUGCAGUCCCAAGCAGCGCUGUCAGCGGACUUCUGGCUGCAAGUCCACUUCAGGAUUCACCUGGCCUGGGACAUCUUGGCAUCAGUUUGGGACUGAGCAGAAGUCUGGCUCUCAGAACACCACCCAGACACCUGUGGUAAAGCCCAAGACUUCUGGUCAUCAGGACAUCCUGUAAGGGACCGUUCAGAUGGAUGGAACAAAUUGCUUCCUUUCCUUAAUUUGGACAUCCACGACCU